UACGUAGGGUGCGAGCGUUGUCCGGAAUCACUGGGCGUAAAGGGCGCGUAGGCGGCGCGGUAAGCGUGCGGUGAAAGUCCGGGGCUCAACCCCGGAUCGGCCGUGCGGACUGCCGGGCUCGAGCACUGUAGGGGCGGGUGGAACUCCGGGUGUAGCGGUGGAAUGCGUAGAGAUCCGGAAGAACACCGGUGGCGAAGGCGGCCCGCUGGGCAGUGGCUGACGCUGAGGCGCGACAGCGUGGGGAGCAAACAGG
rnacentral:rRNA from 1 species